rnacentral:misc_RNA from 1 species
GCAAACUUGGUCAUUUAGAGGAAGUAAAAGUCGUAACAAGGUCUCCGUUGGUGAACCAGCGGAGGGAUCAUUACAGGAAUCGCAAGAUCUCUGACCACUGUGAACAUACCUAAACGUUGCCUCGGCGGGCGUCGCGGUAGGGCCUGGCGGCCCGCCCGCGGCGCCGUGCCCGCCGGUGGCCCCCAACUCUUGAUUCUUAGCGUUGCAUCUCGGAGUAUAGCGAAAUAGUCAAAACUUUCAACAACGGAUCUCUUGGUUCUGGCAUCGAUGAAGAACGCAGC